UCCUAGAAAGUCACAGCAUUCAUGUUCCUUUCAGGAAAGAAGCAUUCACCUCUUUCAGACCGUGAAGUAUUCUUCCUUCGGUAAAAAGAUAGCCUCUCCAACAGAAAACCUCAAGUCCAGCCACUGAGAAAUACUGAAGUUUGUGGGAAAAACUGCAUCCUCAAUAGAGAGGCUCUUCAGGAAGCAAAAAACAGUAAGCAGAUGCUACAGCAAACAACCCUCCUGUCAGAACCCCACCCCGAUACCUUCCUAUCAGUAAAUUCCAGCAGAACUUGUACAAAGCUGCAACACAAAAACUUGUUGGUUUUGGGUUACACGGGUUACUGUUAACACCCUGGGCAUACCUUGAACAUUACACUAAUCUUACAUGUGCGCACAAAUGUGCAUUCUUAAUGGUUCUGUAUUUGAAGUCAUUGCAUAGAACAGAUUUAGGAACAAACUCUGCUAUUAUAAUGGUGCAGAAUGCAACUCAGACUGCAACACAGCGGUACUGCUCCUAUCCAACAGUAUGCAUUUUGAUUUUCAAAAAUCCAAUACCUUAUGAAACUGGUGAUGUAGACAUGAACAAAAGUGGCCAUCAAGUACUGACAAUCAAAGCGAUCCAUUAUGCCACCGUGCCCAGGGAUUGUGUCUGCAAAAUCCUUUUGGUUGUGAAGGACAGGGAGAAAAAAUAUCAUGUUAACCGAUUCAGAUGAAGCACACUCAUCAAGCAUCACUUCACAGCAGUGUUUUAAGGCCGUCAUUAAGCUAUGGUUUUACUGCAUUGAGCCUCCUUGCUAAAGAAGUUUUUAGCUGCAAAGGUUUGUCAAGGGAUGAGACAAAAAAAAAAAAAAAAAAAAGGAAGCAAGAUGUAGCAUUCAAGUCUCCAUGUACUUGAUUCCAUUUUGAGGAAACCAUCUCAAGCUAGUGGUUGUUGUUUCUUGCCUCUUCAGGAUCUGAUUUUCCUCUUUAAGGCUUUUCUUGCAUUGUCUACUGGCAGCUGGUACUGAAGCACUUACUUCCAGGGAGUAUCUACUUGCUUCCAGCCAAGUGGUAACUUGAGAACUCUUUCCACUGUCUCCCACUGGCUUCACAAGUUGUGCAGCCCAUUCACCUGCUAGUUUUGUCACUGGCUUCUUGGUAACGUUAAUUAAAAGCCAUGAUGUGCACAAGCAAUAUAAAUACAUUGAACAGCAUCACAAAGCCUUGUCAUUAAUAAAUCACUUGUUUAGAAAAUAAUAAUAAUACUUAAGAUGCAAACAAUGGUCAAUACGCCAGCUUUGUGUUACCCAACCUUGUCUGUACAACAGCUUUAUUAUUAGUCAAGUGCCCUCACACACCCUUGAUGUCAUUCACGCUCACUUCUGGACCUUUGUCAGAUGAGCUGGCUGCCAGCAAUAGAUACAAACCCUAUGCUUGUACCGCUCCAGCAGGCACGGACUGCAUGCAUGCACUGCCUUUAAUAACAACCACACAAUAUCCCUGUCCCUGUGGUGGCCCUUUGGCUGCAGUGUGUUGUACUGAAACUGCUGCUUUUCAGAAGUACCAUUUCCCCCCCCAAAAAAGCCCUUCUUCACACCAAUGUUCCCUUGCUGCUGUAGCUAACAGUCAUGACAGCGCAAGGCUGUAGCCAGCGAACUGCUGGACAAGCUGCUUGGACCAGUGUAAGGAAGAGGAUCAAGUACAAACACAUGUAUGGGAGUUCAGCACAAACAGAGGUUUAUUUAUAUGCUUCUGUGCAAAGCACAUGCCAAAACCAGUGGACACAGGGAACAAGAGCAACAAGCAACAAGUUAAGAAUUACAGCAGUCCUACCAAGACAUAAAGGUCAGGAGAAAAUUUGGGGCUGCCCUCCUCCCAUACUCCAGCUGCACUUAAUGCCAGCCAGAGACACUAUUGCCACAAGCAACAGUGCAUACCUUGCAGUAAACAGAGGUUAGCACAUCACAUCAUUUGCCAGUACAUGUUCUUAUACAAGGCAGUGCUGCAUUGGCAAAAGCAGCCUGACACUCAUGCCCAGGUGAGCCUGACAUGUCAGCAUCUGUGUACAGCACAGACUCUGCUGGUAAAAUACAGCCAGCCAUAAUUUGAACGGCAAACUGCUGUCAGCAAUUGUUAGGUAUCUACAGGUUGCAACACGUGUCAAGUGUAAUUAUCUCACAUCUUGUUCAUCCCAAUCACUUUAGAAGCAUGACUGAGAAGAGUAAUUAUCAACCCAAAUGCAAAAAUAAAAUAAAAAAGGGAACAAUAUACCUAUAUCUGAUAAAACAAAGUGCUGCUACUGAAAAAACAGCUCAAAGAUCUUCCUAGAAAGACUAGGUACUGCACUAAAUAAAUGAAAAAAGCAAAGAAACAAAAACAACCAACAGAACAAGCUCUCUCAUUCAAAGAGACAACCAAAACACAGCCAGAUUACAGAAGUUAUGACGCACCUUGAUUUUGAAAGCUCUUUUAAAUCCACUGGCGAAGAAUCCUCCAAAUGGCCCAAUUAGGGAUGCAAAUGUUGACAGGGCAAUGCUGUGCAUCUGGAAUGGGUACAUAUUCACCGUUUCCUACGUGAAAAAUAAUAAGCAAGAUAUUUCAUUAUGUUUAAUUCUAGGCAUGUUUCAGCUCAAGUAUUUGACAAUUGGGCUGGUACAGAGCAAAUGUCCACAAAGCUUCACCCGUUCCUAAUACAAAAUAAUACUUUUCAGCCAAGCCCUUAGUUAAUCAUAAGGAAUAUUAUUUUCCCCAGCCUAGUCUUCCCAAUGCUGCUUUUCCAGCUCCAUUUCCUAUAAAGAAAGGAGCUUUCCACUAAUCCAACAAUAUUUCUGAAGACCAGGUGACUCAGUGGUCCCCAGGCACUGGUCACUGUCAUGCAAUUCACUGUCACAGUUGCUCCUUUCAAGUGCUCUCACGAGACAGACAGGAAUUUUGCUCAAGUCUGCAAUACUGGCACUGUGCGUACAUAGGGCAAUAAUGGGAGAUAAAAGUUUAACCUCUGUUAGUGUUUUUGUUUUACAAUUAACUAUCUAUUGUCCCCCUCAUUCCAUCCACAGAAUUGAAAUUUCUUUUGAUCUAUUACAGUUUUUAGGGAUAAGAGACUUAAUUAUCAGGAAGGAGAACAGGUACUCAUUGCCAAAGAUGAUAAUCAAGAUUCUAACAGCUUACCUGAGUGACACACAGUACAGUGAACAGCAUCGUCCACUUCCUGCACAAAUACCAGCAAUGAGGACACAGAGAUGUUUCCUCGUGUGGCUUCAGCAAUGCCUUUCCCUGAUGACCUCCUCCCCAAGCGAGCAAGAGAAGCUCAUAGUGUUAAUUCAGUUCUUAUCUCUCAAGAACUACCCACGUUCAUGUACCUUUCUAUAAA